ensembl:snRNA U6 U6 spliceosomal RNA
GUACUCACUUCUACAGCACAUAUACUAAAAAUUGGAAUGAUGAUAAAGAAAAGAUCAACAUGACCCCUGUUCAAGAAUGACAUGCAGAUUUGUGAAGCAUUCCAUAUUUUU